AAAUGACCAAGUGCUUUACUCUUGUUGAGCCUGUGAGUGUUGUUUACUCUUCUGUUAGUCUAGCUACUCACCUGCAUCUUCUACUUACGAUUAAAAAUGGUGGCCACCUCUAUCCAUACUCUCAUUUUCUGGUCUAAAUUGUAUGUUAUCACUACAGAAUCCUAGAGCUGAGGUAAGGAUUCAGUUUAGUGGGGAGAAUGCUUGCCUAGCAUGCAGGAAUCCCGGAGUUCACUCUGCGUCCCUACAUAAUGUGGUGGUGCACGCAAGUAGCACACGUGGUGCUUAUCACUUGGGAAGUGAAGGCAGGAAGAUCGAAGAUUCAAGGAGGGGUUGCAGACAAGGAAUGAGUCCCGUACUCAGGUGACUUCUUGUGAACCAAUCCCCUAAGGAAUAAAGAAGCCAAUCACUGGGUGAGUAGGCGGGACUUCUGGGUUGGAUGGAGGAAGAGAGGAAGCAGGAGAGAGUUAGGUCUUUUUUGGACGGGGAUAGCGUGAGGACAAGAUUUAAUUAUGAGUGGCUCCUGGUUUCAAUGGUGGAUCUGUCAGGAUUCGCCACAGGAGGAUUUAGAUUUAAUAAGACUUACAGAUUAGAAUUUUAGUUGAUGCACUCAGUGAUUGAGUUUAUGUUGUUUCUGAACUAAGCUUGUGUUGUGUUUUCCUUCACACAGCAGCUUGUCGGGGUUCAAGAGAGAAAGAUACGGUUGGCAAAGCAUGGAUUUGCCUGAGGUGCACCACAAAGAACUCUCAGCUACUUUUCCAUCAACAUGUUUGCCUGUGUGUGACCAUACUUCCUGCCAUGAUGAAAAUUGACUAAAUUUCUAAAACUGCAAGUAGGUCCAAAUUGAAUAAUUUCUUUUCUUUUCCUUUUUUCUUGGUUUUUGUUUUGUUUUGUUUUAGGUGCACAAUGAAAAAUUUUAUUCAUGACAGGUUUCAAAACAUGGAAAAGAAGACAUAAAUGCACAAAGGCAUCUCACAAAACUGUCACAUAAUAUAAAAACACCAGAACUGAGCUGUUAAAACCAUGGCUCAGGAUUCAUCCAUGUAUCUCAGCAACACAUUCAGUGCCUUAAGGUGAUCCAACUCCUUUUCCG
rnacentral:lncRNA from 1 species